UCGAAUUGUGCAAAUACGCCUUCAUAAAUGAACCGUUAAAGUUUGGAUUUUAAUUUUUUUUUUGUGAAACGAUAAGUAUUUGGAUUUUUAAUUGAAGCUUACCCUUUUAUGUCUUAGAGUGGGUGAAUAAUGCUGGGAGAUGGUACUUUAGAUUUGGCUUGGAUAGUUUUAACUGCCCUUUGAAUGAAGUAGCACACCCCUUGAUCAGCUGCUGAAAGGGUAGAGCAGCUUGGUAGCUCGCAAGGCUUAUAACCUUGAGGUCACGGGUUCAAAUCCCGUCUCCGCAGCAUCAACAUAUUAUUGGCAGUUCUAUAUAACUUGUAAUUGUAGGCAUAUUCUUGACGGUGUGUUUAACUAUGAAAUCUGUUUAGUGGAAGUGUCUAAUAGCAGUAUGUCAAUCCUAUUAGUGGAUGUGUCUGUUGCUCAAUUGGAAGUUUCAUAACAUUGAAAACAAUAUUGUCAUAUGCAUGAAAUAUGCGUCGAGUAUUUAUUAUUUGCUAUUCAAUGCUCAACCUUGUUAAGCUUUUGUUGUUCUAGGAUAUAAUAAUAUCUCAUAAGCCAUGGGAUGUAU